GUCGAACGAUGAACCUCCUUCGGGAGGGGAUUAGUGGCGAACGGGUGAGUAACACGUGGGCAAUCUGCCCUGCACUCUGGGACAAGCCCUGGAAACGGGGUCUAAUACCGGAUACGACCACUGAGGGCAUCCUCGGUGGUGGAAAGCUCCGGCGGUGCAGGAUGAGCCCGCGGCCUAUCAGCUUGUUGGUGGGGUGAUGGCCUACCAAGGCGACGACGGGUAGCCGGCCUGAGAGGGCGACCGGCCACACUGGGACUGAGACACGGCCCAGACUCCUACGGGAGGCAGCAGUGGGGAAUAUUGCACAAUGGGCGAAAGCCUGAUGCAGCGACGCCGCGUGAGGGAUGACGGCCUUCGGGUUGUAAACCUCUUUCAGCAGGGAAGAAGCGAAAGUGACGGUACCUGCAGAAGAAGCGCCGGCUAACUACGUGCCAGCAGCCGCGGUAAUACGUAGGGCGCGAGCGUUGUCCGGAAUUAUUGGGCGUAAAGAGCUCGUAGGCGGCUUGUCACGUCGGUUGUGAAAGCCCGGGGCUUAACCCCGGGUCUGCAGUCGAUACGGGCAGGCUAGAGUUCGGUAGGGGAGAUCGGAAUUCCUGGUGUAGCGGUGAAAUGCGCAGAUAUCAGGAGGAACACCGGUGGCGAAGGCGGAUCUCUGGGCCGAUACUGACGCUGAGGAGCGAAAGCGUGGGGAGCGAACAGGAUUAGAUACCCUGGUAGUCCACGCCGUAAACGUUGGGCACUAGGUGUGGGCGACAUUCCACGUCGUCCGUGCCGCAGCUAACGCAUUAAGUGCCCCGCCUGGGGAGUACGGCCGC
rnacentral:rRNA from 1 species